AAGUCGAGGGGUAUAGUAGCAAUACUAGAGACCGGCGCACGGGUGCGUAACGCGUAUGCAAUCUACCUUUUGCAGGGGAAUAGCCCAGAGAAAUUUGGAUUAAUGCCCCAUAGUAUAAUGUCUUGGCAUCGAGAUAUUAUUAAAGUCACAACGGCAAAAGAUGAGCAUGCGUCCCAUUAGCUAGUUGGUAAGGUAACGGCUUACCAAGGCGACGAUGGGUAGGGGUCCUGAGAGGGAGAUCCCCCACACUGGUACUGAGACACGGACCAGACUCCUACGGGAGGCAGCAGUGAGGAAUAUUGGACAAUGGGCGCAAGCCUGAUCCAGCCAUGCCGCGUGCAGGAUGAAGCAUCUAUGGUGUGUAAACUGCUUUUGUACGAGAAGAAACACUCCUUCGUGAAGGGGCUUGACGGUAUCGUAAGAAUAAGGAUCGGCUAACUCCGUGCCAGCAGCCGCGGUAAUACGGAGGAUCCAAGCGUUAUCCGGAAUCAUUGGGUUUAAAGGGUCCGUAGGCGGGCCAGUAAGUCAGUGGUGAAAUCUCCCGGCUCAACCGGGAAAUGGCCAUUGAUACUGCUGGUCUUGAAUUAUUAGGAAGUAACUAGAAUAUGUAGUGUAGCGGUGAAAUGCUUAGAGAUUACAUGGAAUACCAAUUGCGAAGGCAGGUUACUACUAAUGGAUUGACGCUGAUGGACGAAAGCGUGGGUAGCGAACAGGAUUAGAUACCCUGGUAGUCCACGCCGUAAACGAUGGAUACUAGCUGUUGGGGGCAACUUCAGUGGCUAAGCGAAAGUGAUAAGUAUCCCACCUGGGGAGUACGUUCGC
rnacentral:rRNA from 1 species